UAGCGUUGUUCGGAAUUACUGGGCGUAAAGCGCACGUCGGCGGCUUUGUAAGUUAUAGGUUAAAGCCCGGAGCUCAACUCCGGAACUGCCUUUAAGACUGCAUCGCUUGAACGUCGGAGAGGUAAGUGGAAUUCCGAGUGUAGAGGUGAAAUUCGUAGAUAUUCGGAAGAACACCAGUGGCGAAGGCGACUUACUGGACGACUGUUGACGCUGAGGUGCGAAAGCGUGGGGAGCAAACAGG
rnacentral:rRNA from 1 species